rnacentral:rRNA from 1 species
GAGUGAUCGAAAGAUGAAAAGCACUUUGAAAAGAGAGUUAAACAGCACGUGAAAUUGUUGAAAGGGAAGCGCUUGCGACCAGACUCGGCCUCGGGGUUCAGCCAGCAUUCGUGCUGGUGUACUUCCCCGGGGCCGGGCCAGCGUCGGUUCGGGCGGCCGGUCAAAGGCCCCAGGAAUGUAUCGUCCUCCGGGACGUCUUAUAGCCUGGGGUGCAAUGCGGCCAGCCUGGACCGAGGAACGCGCUUCGGCACGGACGCUGGCGUAAUGGUCACAAACGACCC